rnacentral:rRNA from 1 species
UCUUGCGCAAUGGGCGAAAGCCUGACGCAGCAACGCCGCGUGCGGGAUGAAGGCCUUCGGGCUGUAAACCGCUUUCAGCAGGAACGAAAAUGACGGUACCUGCAGAAGAAGGAGCGGCCAACUACGUGCCAGCAGCCGCGGUGACACGUAGGCUCCAAGCGUUGUCCGGAUUUAUUGGGCGUAAAGAGCUCGUAGGCGGUUUAGUAAGUCGGGUGUUAAAACUCUGGGCUCAACCCGAGAGGCCAUCCGAUACUGCUGUACUUAGUUCAGAGGGAGCGGGAAUUCCAGUGAGCGGUAAAUGCGCAGUUAGAGAACACCGGUGGCGAGGCGCGCUCUGGCUGAACUGCGUGAGCAG